UUUAAAUUAAAAUAAUUAAUUAGUUUUUUUUAUAUUAGUUAGAUUUUUUUAAAAUAGUAGUUAAUUUUAGUUUAAAUAUUAAUUAGUUUUAAAUUUUAGAUAGAUAAUUAAACAUUAGUUGGUUUUCUUUUUUUUAUUAUUAUUUAGUUUAGAUUAGAUAUUAACUAGUUUUUAUAAUUUGUAACAAUAAUUGUAUAUAUCUACAUUGGAUUCUCUAUUCCAUAAAAAAACAAAAUUCAAAAAUUCACUCUGAUUUCCUCCCAACGUCUCUCACGCGUACACACUGCUCCACUAUCCCACUAUCACUCAGUAACUACCUUUCCUCUCUCUCCCAUCAGAAAAUGACAAAAAAAAGAGGAUACAAAAAGGUCUCACCACUGUUCACUCUCCCUCUCUCACGAAAUAUACACUCCACUCUCAUCUCUCUCACACUAUCGCUCCACCAACUCACUCACAAUUCCUCUCAACCCUAAAUCACUUCAUCAUCGCCUUCGCCCUCUUCCAUCUCUCUCGCCUUCACUCCGCCGCCGUCCUCCUCUCCAUUUCAUUCACCACCAUCUCACAAACCCUUCGUUCCACCAUCAAUCACCUUCAUCUCCUUACCGCCACAAACCCUCGCUUCUUUCUCCCUCUUCAACAACCCUAAACCGCCGCCACCACCAACGAAACACCAUCUCACCAUCUUAGAAACACCACCGUCAAGCUCCAUCAUCUUCAUCGUCCUCUCAACAACCACCAAGACCCUUCAUCACGACCACCACCCUCAAAUCCUCCUCCAAAUCGAAAAAACCCCUCACUCGAUUCUGACCUCAUCAUCUUCCUUCACCACCCUAUCCGCCGUCAAAACCCAUUUUCAAAACCCUAAAGAGUUCCAACCGAAACCCAAUCGCAUCAUCUUUAUAUUAACCCUUUUUUUUAUGUUUUCAGAUUCGAGGAUUUUUUGUCUUUUUUUUCGUUUUUGGUUGUCAGCUGUUGGAAAUCAAUGCGCAGGUUGUGAGCGUUAAUCAAGGUUUUGGAAACAGUUGUCUUGACAUGGCCGAGUCCCAUUUCGAUCGCGCCAACAAGAACGAUACAUAACGAACGACUCGCUGACGGUAACAAUGUGAACUCUGAGUUUUAUGUUAAUAUGUUUUUUGUUACGAUUUCGGUUUAGCUGUUAAACUGUUGCUACUAUUUUGAUAAGUAGAAAUCCGCUUAUAUAUGUAAAUAAUGGUGGUUAAUAGGCCUUUCUGUUUUGUUGAAGGAUUCUUGUAUAGUUGUGUAAAUAGUCCUGCAAAUAUAUGAAUGCUUCGCCGUGUUUCUGUUUGGUUUCGAUUACGUUACGAGUUCCAAGUUUAUUGCUAUUCAUGAUAGUUUGAUGAAUUUCUGGAAAAUAGCUCAAUGUGUGAGAAAUAUGCUUAUUGUUAUUCAGCUUCUCCAUGACUCAUAGAACUGUCGAAAGUUGUGUUUAAAGGGAAAAAUCAAUUUUUAAGGUUGCGGUUUAGAUCUUGAAAGGUGUUGUUAGUGUUUUUUCUCUUUCUCUGUUUUCUAAGCAAGAUUGAAAUGUCAAAGUAUUUGUUUAGUAUAUCUGUCAUGGAAACCGUCUCCUAUGAGCAUUAUUAUCUUGUUAGAAAUCAUGACUUCAAAUAUUGGUUGCGUGUAUGUUCAGGCCUUGGCCCAACAGGAUUUGAACUUUGGUAAUUUCCAUCGUUGCUUCACUGUUAAUUUUAAUUGUAAUAUGAUGUGGAUCUUAUUGGUUUUCUGUUUGAUUUCAUUGCAAUAAAUUAAAGAUUUAAUCAAUGGAUUCGACUGUUCAUGUCGUUAUGCCACAAAAUUCUCAAUACAUUAUCAAAUAUUUCACCG
rnacentral:lncRNA from 1 species